rnacentral:rRNA from 1 species
AGAGCGAACGCUGGCGGCAGGCCUAACACAUGCAAGUCGAGCGCCGUAGCAAUACGGAGCGGCAGACGGGAGAGUAACACGUGGGAACGUACCCUUCAGUUCGGAACAACCCAGGGAAACUUGGGCUAAUACCGGAUACGUCCGUAAGGAGAAAGAUUUAUCGCUGAAGGAUCGGCCCGCGUCUGAUUAGCUUGUUGGUGAGGUAACGGCUCACCAAGGCUACGAUCAGUAGCUGGUCUGAGAGGAUGAUCAGCCUCACUGGGACUGAGACACGGCCCAGACUCCUACGGGAGGCAGCAGUGGGAAUAUUGGACAAUGGGCGCAAGCCUGAUCCAGCCAUGCCGCGUGGGUGAUGAAGGCCCUAGGGUUGUAAAGCCCUUUCGGCGGGGAAGAUAAUGACGGUACCCGCAGAAGAAGCCCGGCUAACUCGUGCCAGCAGCCGC